rnacentral:rRNA from 1 species
UACAGAGGUCUCAAGCGUUGUUCGGAUUCAUUGGGCGUAAAGGGCGCGUAGGCGGCGGGGUAAGUCUGGUGUGAAAUCUCGGAGCUCAACUCCGAAAUUGCACCGGAUACUGCUCUGCUUGAGGGUUGGAGAGGAGAUCGGAAUUCACGGUGUAGCAGUGAAAUGCGUAGAUAUCGUGAGGAAGACCAGUGGCGAAGGCGGAUCUCUGGACAAAUCCUGACGCUGAGGCGCGAAGGCUAGGGGAGCAAACGGG